UACAGAGGGGGCAAGCGUUAUUCGGAAUUAUUGGGCGUAAAGGGCGCGUAGGCGGCCUGGCAAGUGGAAGGUGAAAUCCCUCGGCUUAACCGAGGAACUGCCUCCCAAACUGCUUGGCUUGAGACCGGGAGAGGUGAGUGGAAUUCCCAGUGUAGCGGUGAAAUGCGUAGAUAUUGGGAGGAACACCAGUGGCGAAGGCGGCUCACUGGACCGGUACUGACGCUGAUGCGCGAAAGCGUGGGGAGCGAUCCGG
rnacentral:rRNA from 1 species